rnacentral:rRNA from 1 species
UACGUAGGUGGCAAGCGUUGUCCGGAAUUAUUGGGCGUAAAGCGCGCGCAGGCGGUCCUUUAAGUCUGAUGUGAAAUCCCCCGGCUCAACUGGGGAGGGUCACGCGAUACUGAUCGACUCGAAGGCAGGAGAGGGAAGUGGAAUUCCCGGUGUAGUGGUGAAAUGCGUAGAUAUCGGGAGGAACACCAGUGGCGAAGGCGACUUCCUGGCCUGUUCUUGACGCUGAGGCGCGAAAGCUAGGGGAGCAAACGGG